GACUAAUCUCGCUUUGCCAGACCCUCCUUCAAAGCGUGCUGAAGGAGGGCUACUCCAAAUAGCAUUCGGGUAUGGGAGGAAAAUGCUCUGGUUUAUUGGCAUUUCUUUAACCCAAUCAGAAUCCUUUUUGUUCUCGGUCA